UACGGGGGGAGCAAGCGUUGUUCGGAUUUACUGGGCGUAAAGGGCGCGUAGGCGGCUCUGAGAUAGUUGAGUGUGAAAGGCCUGGGCUCAACCCGGGAACUGCACCCAAUACUGCAGGGCUUGAGUGUGGGAGAGGAUAGUGGAAUUCCCAGUGUAGAGGUGAAAUGCGUAGAUAUCUGGAGGAACACCGGUGGCGAAGGCGGCAUCCUGGACCGAAACUGACACUGAGGCGCGAAAGCCAGGGGAGCAAACGGG
rnacentral:rRNA from 1 species